rnacentral:lncRNA from 1 species
CUAAAGCUAAUGGGUCUGCCUUCACCUUUUAUUUUAUGUCCAAUAUAAAUUAAAGCCUCCAUUUCACUCCUUGAAUUAGACCCAAUUUUCAUCACAUGAAAAUUAAUUACCUAUCUAUGAAUUUAUUUUUAGGAACCUUGAAGAAAACAAUUAAUUGCCCAUCUCAUCCAUGCCCCUCUUCUAGCUAAAAAUCAAGUUAGGAGGUUGGAUUAAAGAUAAAUUUCAAGUUAAAGUUUCGGGGAAUGCACUCUAGGUGGAAGGAAAAUCAAGGUAUGAUGGGAUUUUUUAUAUAUGAAAAUUCUUUAUCAUUUCUACUUACUUUCUAUGAGAUAAUUGAAUUUAUUUGAUUUACUGUUAUGCUUAGUUUAGAAUAACUUGAAGGAGAAGUGGGAAAUUCGAAAGGAAAGGAAAAGGAGAAGUGAAAAAGAGAAAGGAGAGAAGGAAUUAAGGGAAACUUGGAGCAAGGAGGUUUGUGCUCACUUUUUUUAAUAAAAUUUUAAUUCUUUCAAUUAUGUUUAAUUUAAAAAUUUGCUGUUAGGGUGAAAUUUAAUCAAGUGAAUAAUAAUUGAAUUAUAAUAAAUGUUUAAAGUUUGAAUAAAUAAUAGAAAGGAUGAAAGAAAAAUUUGACAUGUACGUGAGCAUAGGGCUAAAAUUUAUAGUAGGACUAAAGGGAAAUUUGCUAAAAACUUUUAUCAUAAAAUUUUAAUUGGGUAAGAUUUAAUGAUGGAGAGACUUAUUAGACUAAAAAGAAAAAUUUGGGUACUAAAAUGUAAAUGACUGAAUUAUAUGAUAAGGGCUAAAACUGAGAAUUUGUUAUUUCUCUUGAUGAAAUUUUUGAAUUGGUUAAGAUUUGAUGGAUAGAAAGUAAAUGGACUAAAAAGGAAAUCUGGGAAGAAUGAUAUAAGGAAGGCUGAAAUUUAUAAGUAGGGUUAAAUUAUAUGAAAUGUUUGGGUCAUAUUGUAUGAGUCAGUAUGGCUAGGGAUCCAUUUAAAAUUAGUAAUAUUCUUACUUUGGCACCAACCAAAAGCUUUAAGGGAAGUAUGUUCUGGGCUCCUUAGGCUAUUACUGCAAAUUCAUUCGGCACUAUUUAUUUGACAAGAGCUGCUUGGUUAUUCUUGUUGAUUCUACAGUUAUUCAAAAACAUUUGCUUGAGUUCCAUUCUACUGUAGUUGGUAGCCACUGUAUCUUAUAUAUAGAUAACUUGCCUGCUAAUCUAUAUAGAGGGGAAUGGUGAAGAGUGUUCAAUAAUUUGUCUCUUAAUUCUUUAUUUUCCAUCAACACAAAUAUCAAACCAAGAGUCCCACUGAUCUCUUGUAGGGAUGAGCAGUAUUCGGUUCAAACUGAAAAAACCGAUCGAAUCGAAUUGAUUUAAAAAUUUGGUUCGGUUUUUUAUAUAUUUCAAUUCGGUUCGGUUCGGUUUUUAAUUUCAGAAAUUUCAGUUAUUUCGAUUCGGUUCGAUUUUAAUCAGAAAAAAAUUAAAAAAAUCGAACCGAACCGAUUAGUGAUAAUAAUAUGUUUUUUUAAAAUUAAAUCAUAUUAAAAUUAAAAUAUUUUAAUUAAAUUUUAAAAUAUUAAAAAUAAAGUGUAAAAAAUAAAAAAAUUAUUAAAAAUCGAAACCGAUCAAACCGAAUCAGAUCGGUUCGAUUCGAUUCGAUUUCUGAUCAAAAUCGGUUCGGUUCGAUUUUCACAAACACUAAAAUUUCGAUUUUCAAUUUAUUUAAUUCAGUUCGAUUUUAAACCGAACCGACCGAAUGCUAACCCUAAUCUCUUGUAGUUGUAAACCUCUGAUUUUGUACUGCAUAUACAGUACAAUCUCAAUGAUGAAAACUAAAUUUGGUCUGAACACAUUUGAAGCAAAUUAAAGAGUUUUUAGUAGGUGUCUUAUGCCAUGAAAAAUUAAAAAAAAAAAAAAGACAGAAAAUAAUAAAAAUUUGAAAAUGAGUUGAAGGAUUAAAUAACAGGGAGAAUUGAACUUCAAUUUUGGGCCAUUUAGCCAAAAGUUUGGUCUGUGGGCCUCAUUUAUUUUUUUAAAGUAUUUUCUAUGAGGCUUAAGGUUCAUUUGGGUUUUGAGAAGAAUAGAUUCAAACUUAAAAAAAUAGUGUUGACAGAGAAGGCUUUGGUCGUUGGCCCAUUCAGACAACUAGAGGAGCAUGGAGAUGAUUUUACAAUUUUUAAUAAUUUACGAGAGACUUUAGGAAAAUAAUUAAAAUUUAAUUGAGUUAAAAUUAGCUCCUAAUCAGCCUACGAAAUCCAAAUUAACCGGCCAAACUAAGGGAGAGAGGGAGAUUUUAUUUUCUUUUUUGGGUUUUCCUAUUUAUUCAUCUCAUUCUCUCUCAAAAUCCUAACUUGAACACAUACUCAAAGUUCCCUUUCAUUCCAACCGACCUUCCCAAUCUCCAUAUUCUAAAAUUCUCUCGACUCACUCACUAAGAAAAAUCAAGAAACCCCCUCUUCCUUAGACCUAACCGCUGCCCCCCUCCUCUUCUCGUACUCCCAAAUUUCUUCUUUUUUUUUUUCAUUGUUUUAAUAAAACAUAAAUAAUUUCAAAAAUAAGUAUUCAUGAUAUAAAAUCAACUUCUUUCAUAUUAUUCACUUUAUUUUAAUAUAUUGAUCGCCUCCUAUAUUAAUUUUGAUGUGAAAUUUGAAGGUAACACCAUUUUUGUGCAUGUUUGGCUUAGAGGCACCUACAUUAUGAACCACUGAACCACUUAUUUUGAAUAAUUAUUACAUUUUAAUUCUAUAUAAUUUCAUAUAUUAUUUGCCUUGAUAUAAUUUUCUACAAUUGAUUAUGAAUUUUUAAUAUUUAAAGAGACAAUGAAAUUACAUUAAUCUAUAUCGGCAAGUAGUAGGGGUGUAAACGAACAAAACCGUUCGUGAGCUAUUCGAAGUUCGAUUCGAUAAAAUCUCGACCGAGCUCGACUCGAUUUCUAAACGAGCCAAGCUCGAGCUUAAUUUUUAGGCUCGUUUAGUAAACGAGCCAAGGUUGAGCUCCAUAGUAUUCGACUCGUUAAGGCUCGUGAGCUCGGCUCGUUUUUGAGUUCAUGAGCAGGCUCGCGAAUAGACUCGUGAACAGUCUCGUUAAGCAAACUGAAAUUACUAUCAUAAGAGAAAUAAACUCAAACCCUGCAUAUAUUUUAAUGAGCAAAAUCUAAAUUUUUUAAAAUUCAGCUCUAUAUAGUUUAGUUACACUCUUAAACUUGCAUAUAUUUGGAUCAUUGGGAUUUAAAAACUCAUUUUUAUAAGCUUACAUGCUAAUUUGUAGAUAUACUUAUUUAACUAAAAUUAUUUUAGUUUUAAACUUAUUAGUUUUAAACUAAAGUUCAUUAUACAUGUAAAUAAAUUAAAUUACUCGUGAACUAUUCGAGACUCAGUUCGAUUAAAGCUCGACUCAACUCGAUAAAAGCUCGACUCGUCUAAGCUCGUUUGUUAAACGAGCCAAGCUUGAGUUUCUUAAUACUCGGCUCGAGUUCGAUAUGAGUAAAGCUCGAAUUCGGCUCGAGCUCGAAAAAAUUUUAACGAACCAAGCUUGAACUCUUCAAAUCUCGGCUUGGCUCGGUUCGUUUACACCUCUAGCAAGUAGCAUGAUUUCAAAGACAUGUAAUUUGGCCUUCUAUUCGCAAAAUAAGGUGACUUUUGAGCAUAAAUUAAGUUUUAGAAGUGAACUAAAUUUCUUAUACUUUGAAUUUUUCAUAUUUAAAUAUGUGAAUAAGUGGUAUAUCGCAUACAAAAUCGAUGUUUAAAAUUUAUCAAUUUCUAGAAUAACUAUAUUGCAAAGUUCAUAUCUUGAGUUUUAUUAAUGAUUUUGAGUUGAUUCUUUUCUUAUUGUUUUGUUCUAUAUUUCUAGUUUAUAAAAUUUUAAAUUUUUCUGAGUUGAUUUAUUAUUUUUUUAAAAAUUUUAAAUCUUGAUAUCAUAAUCUACCAUGAUCAGGUAUGCUCAUUAUAGUAUAUUCCUUUUGUAUUAUUUUAAUUUUAAUUACAUAUUUGGUGUUUUGAUUUUUUUUAUAGUAUAUUCUUUUUGUGUUCUUUUAAUUUUAAUUACAUAUUUGGUGUUUUGACUUUUUUUAUUUGUGUUAUUAACAUUUUUUUUUGUCUUAGAAUAGGAGCUAAUGGAGGCUAGAAUUCUCCUUACACUCUUCUUGGCUGAAAUUGUAUUUCCAAAUUGGGAGAUGAUUUUGCUUACAUUAUUUGACUAGGAUAAUCUUCUUUUUUUUUUUAAUUUUCAAAUAUGAUUUGGUUUAUUUUCUUUGUUGUAAUUUUAUUUUAUUUUAUUAUUUGCUUCUUAUUUUAUUUUUUCCUAUUAUGAAAAUUUUAGUUUUGGUAAUUGAGCAUCAAAGAAAGAAGGAUAGCACAUUCUUGUCUUAUUUUUAACCAUGGCCUGCGCCCUCUCCCAUCCUUGGCUUGAGUUGCUUGUUUUAGUAGAUCAAUGGUUGAUCCAAGCAGCCCAUGGGCAUCUUUGAAGACUCUUUGCAAAGGGUUAUGAUUUUAAAGACUUU